rnacentral:rRNA from 1 species
GAUGAACGCUGGCGGCGUGCCUAAUACAUGCAAGUCGAGCGAACAGACGAGGAGCUUGCUCCUCUUACGUUAGCGGCGAACGGGUGAGUAACACGUGGCGAACCGACCUAUAAGACUGGGAUAACUUCGGGAAACCGGAGCUAAUACCGGAUAAUAUAUUGAACCGCAUGGUUCAAUAGUGAAAGACGGCUUUGAUGUCACUUAUAGAUGGAUCUGCUCUGCAUUAGCUAGUUGGUAAGGUAACGGCUUACCAAGGCGACGAUGCGUAGCCGACCUGAGAGGGUGAUCGGCCACACUGGAACUGAGACACGGUCCAGACUCCUACGGGAGGCAGCAGUAGGGAAUCUUCCGCAAUGGGCGAAAGCCUGACGGAGCAACGCCGCGUGAGUGAUGAAGGUCUUCGGAUCGUAAAACUCUGUUAUUAGGGAAGAACAACUGUGUAAGUAACUAUGCACGUCUUGACGGUACCUAAUCAGAAAGCCACGGCUAACUACGUG